AUGUGCCUUGAAGCUUUCCAUGACUUCCCCUUUGCUGCCAGGAGACUGAAAAGUCUGAUGCCACGGAGCAGAAGUCUGAUGCCACAGAGGAGAAAUCAGAAGCCACAGAAGAUAAAUCUGAUUCUAAGGAUGAAAAAUCUGAUGCCACAAAUGAAACUGAGGCACACACAGGAGACAAGGCAGAUGAAGGGGCCCCUGAAGAGGCUCAGUCUGACCAGACACCACCAGAAGAUCAACAGGAAGAAGAAGAAAAGCAGGGAGAGGGAGAAGAAAAAGAAGAGGUGGAGGAGCAGGAAGAGUCUUAGUACAGUUCUCUAUGACACAAUAUUUCUUGAACAGGUUUUCAGGAAGCACCAGCUGGAGCCACCCCACCAAAGAAAAGAAAAUCCCUUUCCCAAGCAAAGCACCACUACCUUUUGUGCCUGUAUGAACACAAAAACAUAAACAGAACACAGACACCACUCUGUCCCACCUGCAGCAUUUAUCUAUAUAUUUGGUAUUCCAGAUGCUUGUUAAAAUGGAUCUCAUGUCUGACAGAUGGUAUUUCAGUCAAUUGUUAUGUGUUGGGAUAGUUUUGUCCGUGUCACAUUUAGAUUGUGAGCUCCCCAGGGCAGGAACCACGUCUCUCUCCAUGUCCAAACACUGCCAAGCACGCUGCUGCCACUCAGCAGCCGACUGCACUCACACACUGACGUCUUCAGAGGAAAAGAAAAUCAGCACUGAAAACUUCAAAGAGGCUUCCUGUACACAAGCCAUGUGAGUCACUUCUCCCUCAGCUGGCAUUUGAAAAUGAUUGAGAUUCCCAUUGUGCAGCAGUUUAAAUAAAUGUGUUUUCUGUCGUAUCUGCUCUUUGUCU
rnacentral:lncRNA from 1 species